GGCUCUGUGGCGCAAUGGAUAGUGCAUUGGACUUCUAGGCUGUGAGCUGAGCCAUUCAAAGGUUGUGGGUUCGAGUCCCACCAGAGUUG
rnacentral:tRNA from 1 species